rnacentral:rRNA from 1 species
AGUGAAUAGAUACCCUGGUAGUCCACGCUGUAAACGAUGAGUGCUGGACGUUGGCGGGUUUACCUGCCGGUGUCGCAGCUAACGCGUUAAGCACUCCGCCUGGGGAGUACGGCCGCAAGGUUAAAAACUCAAAGGAAUUGACGGGGGCCCGCACAAGCGGUGGAGCAUGUGGUUUAAAUUCGACGCAACGCGCAGAACCUUACCAGCCCUUGACAUGGGCGGACGGGGUCCAGAGAUGGACUCUUUCUCGCAAGAGACCGCUACACAGGUGCUGCAUGGCUGUCGUCAGCUCGUGUCGUGAGAUGUUGGGUUAAGUCCCGCAACGAGCGCAACCCUCGGUCUCCAGUUGCCAUCGGGUAGAGCCGGGCACUUUGGAGAAACUGCCGGUGACAAGCCGGA